rnacentral:rRNA from 1 species
UGCGGUUAUACAAAAAUUAAAUUAAUUUCUUUUAGGGUUUAAUAAAUAAUAAUUUAUUUAAUAAUUUAAAUUUUAAAUUAAAAAGUGAAAUUUUAAUUUAAUUAAAAUUUAUUUAUUUUUAUGACAUUAAUAAAUUUUAUAAAAAACUAGGAUUAGAUACCCUAUUAUAAAAAUUUAAAUUUAAUAAUCUUAAAAUAGUAUAUAAUUUUUAUAGAAACUUAAAUAAUUUGGCGGUAUUUUAGUUCAUUUAGAGGAAUCUGUCUAAUAAUUGAUAAUCCACGAUUAAAUUUACUUAAUUUUUAAUUUUGUAUAUCGUUGUUAAAAAAAUAUUUUUUAUGAAAAAUAAUAUUUUAAAAUUUUAAUAAAAAAUUAAAUCAGAUCAAGAUGCAGAUUAUAAUUAAGAAUAUGAUGGAUUACAAUAAAUUUUAUUUUUGGAUAUUAAUUUGAAAUAAAUUAAUUGAAAUUGGAUUUAAAUGUAAUUUUAUUAAUUUUGUUAAAAUGAUUUUAAAUUAAAAUAUGUACAUAUUGCCCGUCGCUUUCAUUUAUAAAUUGAAAUAAGUCGUAACAAAGUAGAGGUACUGGAAAGUGUUUCUAGAAAGAU